GCCCUUUGGGCCCUCUGCCUUCUGCACGGUGGGACCCACCCAACCAACAGGGCAGAACAGGGUACCAGACCUCUUGGAACUGGAGUUGUAAACUGCCAAGUGAAUGCUGGAAAUAGAACCCAGGAAGGGCAGCCAGCCAGUGCUCUUAUCCACUGAGCCAUCUCUUCAGCCCUGAAGAGACAGGAAAAGAAGCCACUACCAUGAUACUCUCUAAGGAGGUGACUCACGCUACCAUGUAAAGAACUACCUGAGGACCCAGCAAUACCACUCCUGGGCAUAUACCCAGAAGAUGCUCCAACAUGUAAUAAGGACACAUGCUCCACUAUGUUCAUACCGGCCUUAUUUAUUAUAGCCAGAAGCUGGAGAGAACCCAGAUGUCCCUCAACAGAGAAAUGAAUACAGAAAAUAUGGUACAUUUAUACAAUGGAGUACUACUCAGCUAUUAAAAACAAUGAAUUCAUGAAAUUCUUAGACAAAUGGAUGGAUCUGGAGGAUAUCAUCCUGAGUGAGGUAACUCAAUCACAAAAGAACACACAUGGUAUGCACUCACUGAUAAGUGAAUAUUAGCCCAGAAGCUCAGAAUACCCAAGAUAUAAUUUGCAAAACACAUGAAACUCAAGAAGGAAGACCAAAGUAUGGAUACUUCGAUCCUUCUUAGAAGGGAGAGCAAAAUACCCAUGGAAGGAGUUACAAAGUUUGGAGCAGAGACUGAAAGAAUGACCAUCCAGAGACUGCCUUACCUGGGGAUUCAUCCCAUACACAACCACCAAAACCAGACACUAUUGUGGAUGCCAACAAUAUUUUGCUGACAGGAGCCUGAUAUAGCUGUCUUCUGAGAGGCUCUGCCAGUGCCUGACAAAUACAGAAGUAGAUGCUCAUAGCCAUCCAUUGGACAGAACACAGGGUCCCCAAUGAAGGAGCUAGAGAAAGUAUCCAAGGAGCUGAAGGGAUUUGCAGCCCCAUAGGAGGAACAACAAUAUGAACUAACCAGUACCCUCAGAGCUCCCUGGGACUAAACCACCAAUCAAGAAAACACAUGGUGGGACUCAUGGCCCGAGGAUGGCCUAGUCAGUCAUCAACGGGAGGAGAGGCCCUUGGUCCUCUGAAGGUUCCAUGCCCCAGUAUAGGGGAAUGCCAGGGCCAGGAAACCAGAGUGGGUGGGUUGGUGAGCAGGGGGGGAUGGGUAGGAGGGUUUCGUGGGGAAACCAGGAAAAGGAAUAACAUUUGAAAUGUAAAUAAAGAAAAUAUCUAAUUAAAAAAAAAAGAAAAAGACUUAUUUCAUAA
rnacentral:lncRNA from 1 species